rnacentral:rRNA from 1 species
CCUACGGGAGGCAGCAGUCGGGAAUAUUGCGCAAUGGAGGAAACUCUGACGCAGUGACGCCGCGUAUAGGAAGAAGGUUUUCGGAUUGUAAACUAUUGUCGUUAGGGAAGAUAAAAGACUGUACCUAAGGAGGAAGCCCCGGCUAACUAUGUGCCAGCAGCCGCGGUAAUACAUAGGGGGCAAGCGUUAUCCGGAAUUAUUGGGUGUAAAGGGUGCGUAGACGGAAGAACAAGUUGGUUGUGAAAUCCCUCGGCUCAACUGAGGAACUGCAACCAAAACUAUUCUCCUUGAGUGUCGGAGAGGAAAGUGGAAUUCCUAGUGUAGCGGUGAAAUGCGUAGAUAUCACGAAGAACUCCGAUUGCGAAGGCAGCUUACUAAACUGCCACUGACAUUGAUGCUCGAAAGUGUGGGUAUCAAACAGGAUUAGAUACCCCUGUAGUC